GAUAAACGCUGGCGGCGUGCAUGAGACAUGCAAGUCGAACGAACGAGCUUGCUCGUUAGUGGCGAACGGCUGAGUAACGCAUAGGUGACCUGCCCUGAAGUGGGGGAUAACGGCCCGAAAGGGUUGCUAAUACCGCAUGUGGCGACGUGUUCAUUCACGUCAUCAAAGCCGCGAGGCGCUUCAGGAGGGGCCUGCGUCCGAUUAGCUCGUUGGUGGGGUAACGGCUCACCAAGGCGACGAUCGGUAGGUGGUCUGAGAGGACGAUCACCCAGACUGGGACUGAGACACGGCCCAGACUCCUACGGGAGGCAGCAGUCGGGAAUUUUGCUCAAUGGGGGAAACCCUGAAGCAGCAACGCCGCGUGCGGGAUGAAGGCCUUCGGGUUGUAAACCGCUUUUAUCAGGGACGAUGAUGACGGUACCUGAUGAAUAAGUCACGGCUAACUUCGUGCCAGCAGCCGCCGUAACAC
rnacentral:rRNA from 1 species